rnacentral:lncRNA from 1 species
AUAAUGUUUGAGUAACUGAACUGGAAAAUACCUUGAUGUAUAAAUGUUGGUUGGCUGUUGUUGCUGAGUUAAAUGAGCUGGAAUGACUUAACUGAAUAGAUCGAAUGUUGUGUUUUAGUAAUUGCAGUUGGUUAAUGGAAGGAGAUGGAACGAGUAAAGCCAAGCUUACCUUGAAGUGGCAGAGCACUGGAUUGAGGCCUCUGCUCUCCCAAAGUUUCUAAGUGUGGAAUGAGAACGAAGUGGAGGUUAUAUGCUGCUGAAAUCUGAAACCAAAUGAAGUGGUUGGGUGUGAAAUGCACACUUGUGCUAGUCAAAAAUGUGCAAAAUAGGCA